rnacentral:rRNA from 1 species
UGGGGAAUAUUGGACAAUGGGCGCAAGCCUGAUCCAGCCAUGCCGCGUGAGUGAUGAAGGCCCUAGGGUUGUAAAGCUCUUUGACCGGGGAAGAUAAUGACGGUAACCGGAGAAGAAGCCCCGGCUAACUUCGUGCCAGCAGCCGCGGGAAUACGAAGGGGGCUAGCGUUGUUCGGAUUUACUGGGCGUAAAGCGCACGUAGGCGGACUUUUAAGUCAGGGGUGAAAUCCCGGGGCUCAACCCCGGAACUGCCUUUGAUACUGGAAGUCUUGAGUAUGGUAGAGGUGAGUGGAAUUCCCAGUGUAGAGGUGAAAUUCGUAGAUAUUCGGAGGAACACCAGUGGCGAAGGCGGCUAACUGGACCAUUACUGACGCUGAGGUGCGAAAGCGUGGGGAGCAAACAGG